rnacentral:tRNA from 2 species
UGCGGGGUCGCCAAGUGGAAAGGCGACGGCCUCAUAAGCCGUUUAUACGCGGGUUCGAUUCCCGCCCCCGCUA